rnacentral:rRNA from 1 species
CGCGUAGGCGGCUUCUUAAAAGUCGGUUGUGAAAGCCCCGGGCUCAACCCGGGGAGGCCAGCCGAUACUGGGGGGCUUGAGUGCAGGAGAGGGAAGCGGAACUGCCGGUGUAGCGGUGGAAUGCGUAGAUAUCGGCAGGAACACCCGCGGCGAAGGCGGCUUCCUGGACUGCUACUGACGCUGAGGCGCGAAAGCCAGGGGAGCGAACGGGAUUAGAUACCCCCGGUAGUCCUGGCCCUAAACGAUGGUCACUAGGUGUCGCGGGUAUCGACCCCUGCGGUGCCGCAGCUAACGCAGUAAGUGACCCGCCUGGGGAGUACGGCCGCAAGGUUGAA